ACAUCUUUGCCCACAGGAAAUUACAUCAGCUAACAUUCAGUACUUGCAGAUGUUUACAAUGGUCUUUAUUGAAAAAUACACUUCAGACAAAGGCCAGGGGGAAAAAGUAGAAGAACUCUGCUCUCUUGUUGAUGAAAUUUUGAAGCAUGAACUACUCAAAAGUCACAAGCCUCCUUUAAGAUGGACACGUUAGGCACCCUAAAUCUAGGGAUCACUACCACCAUCCUCUAUAGAGAUGUUCAUAGGGGCAGUGCGAUGGUGUUAAGUCCGAGCAGGUAAGCAUCAAUUUCUUUGUGCUUUAGAAAAAGUGGUACCUGCACUCAGGGAAUGGAUGUUCAGAUUAGGCCAAAGCAGGGGGCCCUGAGAGAGAAGUCCCUGAUAUGUGGAUGGAAAAUUCUUCCUCUUGUGAUGCUAGUGUAAAUGGGAUACUCCUAGGUUCAAAGAGAAAGUGAAGGAUCAUGGGGCGUGUGUGCAGUGAGAACACCUCCCAAGCAUGCAUUCAAGGGGAUAGGGACUUUGAGUGAAUGUUUUUUUCAGUUCUCUUAGAGAUGGUGCUGGCCUGCCUCAAUUCUUGCUAAGGCGAUCUCACAAUUAAACUCUAGUUCUUCUCUAGACCUAGAAAAGAAAGAAGAGGCUGCUGUGCUUGCAUUUAACCCCAACUACUUAUAAAGGCAGCCUGAACACGAGUAGCCACUUUUGAUACUUUCUGGCAUUCAUUUUGUUUGGGGACAGUUUACUUUACAGGGGAGUCUUCUGCAGAACAACACUAACUGAUGCAUCAGACUAGUGGCUUAUGUGUCUGCCAGCACACAUCGCUUCAGAUAAGCGUGGGGGUUGACUGCUAUAAAACCCAAGCCAAACCUGAGGGAGACUGACUGGGUUAUGGACAGCAAAUAUCAAAAAAGGCCUCUAUUUGUUCGAUAUAAAUUCUCCUGAGUAGCAGCCAUGGAUGAUGGAGGUUUAAUUGAUGUUAUACUCAGCUGUAGAGACAAAAUUGUAAAGGGCAGCUCCAGUAUAGAGCAAAUUUACUUGGAGUUAAAUUCUGCAGCUGUCUUGUUACUGAAAUAUUACCAUAUUAAAUUUAAAUUUAAAAUAUCUGGUUGCCCAAGAAUUAAACCAUUUGAUUUUUACUACUCCAUUUUUGAGGUAGUAAAAUCCAUACAUGAGAAGUGGUUGUUCAAAUCUUCUUUGAAGCUAGAUAAAACCCUUCCUUUCCCCAGGAUUAACAUUAAGAUGACAGCUCUCUUUAGGGGGGAGCACUAGUUCACAUACGAUCAUUUGAAAUCACUUACUUCUAUCUUUACUUCUCUCGGUUGGGGAAUUCUGCUGGAUACUGCUAUCACUGCUGCCAGAACGACGGCGUGGUCUUCUGCCCUUUAUCAAGACGGCCCGAUAUACCUGCAAAAAGCCAAAGAGAUAAACUAAUUGAAGGAAGCCAUAUAUGCAAGCAGCAAAGGUUGAACUGGAUUAUUUCUCCAUUUGGCCUCAAACCGGGCAGUUGCUCUUUAUGGGGACUUUUAAGGACCACCCUGCCUUAUGAAGGCCUCACUUGAGGGUAACUAACUGCCCCAGGUAGCUGCUUAGUUGAGCACCCGGACAUACUGAGAUGGUUCCCUCUAACUGAACUUGGGUAACUCCAAAGUGAAAAAACGCUCCUGGGGAGGGCAGUUCCCAAGAGAAGCUUGAGCCAGAGAGCUGAGCAGGGAGCCCAUCAACAUGGAGAACCUCCAGGAGUGCAGUCAGCAGACGUCCAAGUGGGCCUGGUCUCCCAGACAGUGGCCAGAAGCCUAGCCUAGCAAGGAUCACCUGCUGUCCCUGGAGAAGAGAUACUGUCAACGGACCACCCUGCACCCUUGACUCCCGAGAAGGACAUUACUCCAGAAGGGGCAAGAAGUCUUAAACCGGGGGGGAAGAGCCUGGGCAGAGGCAAGCCUUGAACUCAGGUGGGGGACAUGCACUAAGAAUGACCUAAUCACCCUAGUGGGGAUGUUCAGGUGAAAGUUUUAUAUUCUGCAUUGGCUUUUCUAUUAAUAAAUGAGAUCCUCCACCAGGAGGUGCUCUUUAGCAUCUGUCUGGACUUGCUGAUAUCCUGGCUGAGGGGGAAAAAAUCAAGUGAGGGCCCACCUGUAAAUGGGGCAUAUUUGUGUCAGACUGGAAUGAUGACAGUCCUCUGAACUGAAAAAAAAUCUAUUAUUUGCUUAGUUCUAGUCAAUGCAUAGUUGCAACUUUCCUUGAUGCUAUUUGGAACACAUAUUAGUUUUUUUUAAAAUGUAGCAAUAAUCUAUAGCUUGUAUGUAACUGCGUGCAAGCUCUCUACCAAACAGCACGUAUCGCUUCUAAAAUGCAGGCUACACAUUUUAUUUUUAACAUCUCACCUUUUCCAAGCCCUCCAGUUUCAGCACGAACUUCAUUGAUCCUUCUUGGAGUCAAAGGAGAGCCUACCAGACUGUUCCCAUUAGAUCUUUCAAAAUAGUGAGGUGGCAUUACCUAAAAUAAUAUUGAUGUAACAGUUAAUUUCAGCAUGUUUAUUUAAUUAUUAAAUGAAUUAAUUGAAUAAUCCAACUGAUUUCUAGCCUUGUUUAGAUACUGAUGCACUCUAAAAAUCAAGCCAGUUUAAGCAGCACAUUUUAUCACUGUGUCCAAUUUCAAAGAGCAAGUUAUUGGAGAGGGGAAUGAAACAAACAAGUGAGCGACAGAAACCCUAGCUUCAUUGAAUUCAUUGAUAAAACUCUCAGUAAAGUCAACAGGGCCAGGAUUUUAUCCAUCUUAUUUACCGGGGGGAGGAAGAAAAAGGCACAAGUCAUGCCUUAUAAUUGCAUAUAUCAAUUUUGUAGAGAGAAUGCCAAGCACGGCUAUGCUCAUCACAGUUGCAUACCUAAAGGUUGCUAUUACCUUGUUUCAUUUUAAAUAUGUAUUAUUUUAGAAGAUUGGACAACUUGCUUUUGUUUUCCAUCAUUAUAAUCAUGAUUCUACUUCAUCUCAAUAGUUACAUGUUGGGAAAAGACUUGCUCAGGUUCAUAUCCCAAAUGCCCAAUGGCUGGGCUACUAAGGAGUGCCAUCUAAACUGAACAAGGCCUCUUGAAACUUAUAACAAGCAUUAAAAAAAAAUAGCUGUUACUUCUCACACUUACCUCCUCACAGGUAGGAACUUUGUUCUCAUUAUCUCGGAUUCUGUCCCAUACUGGAGAUUCACGUUUCCAUGCCAUACUCUCCAAGAUUUGCUCUUCAAUAUGAUUAAGGUGUUUUACCACCUCUCUACAAAGGCCAUCUUCUGCUCUAAUAAAAAUCUCUAUUACCUGUGAAGUGAGUAAAUAUGAAACCCACCUAUUACAAUGUUAAACUAGAACAUUGUGCAACCAAUACAAUAAGUGAGAUCAUCAUACUUUUCGUGUUGUUCUCUUUCAAAUGGGUUUAUAUUAAAUUUGUGAAGCAUCACAUUAAUCCCGACAGAAAAAGGUCUGUUCUAACUCAAUAAUAGUAUGUAACUGUCAUACUUGUUCCCCAACAACUAGAUACAAUUAAAUCUACAUCAAUCAAUCACUAUAAGUACAACUCUGUCAGACCAAAGUUACAAGAUUUGAAGAUAAAUGUUUAUUUUCAAUAAGUCAAGAAGUGAAAUAGAAAGUGCCCAUUAUCCCACGUAAACAUUGUGGUCCAUUAUUUUUUAACUAGACAAUUUGGACUCCACCAAUGCAUUACACAGUUAACAGUACAUGAGUUUUCCAGUUUAAAUUUUUCCACUAAAACAAGAAAACCCACCCCACAUAUGAUCGUUUUCAUAACUUAGAUUUUUAAGCAAUUACACAUCCAACUGAGGAAAAAGUAUCUUGCUUCAAGAAAAAAGUCUGUAGAAGUAACCAGCAUGACUGGUGAUCAUCACUUCACAUGAUCAAAGCCAUUUACCUUAUAAAAGUGAUAAACAGGUACAUCAAAGAUUUCCGUAAUUAAUGGGAAAGUUCCAGGAGGCUUGUAUGAAAAAGUAAUUAUCUCAAGGCAACAUGCCAGGAGAGACCUGUGAAGCACAUCCUGCUCCAGUAUUGCCUGCAAUACAAAUAUUAAAGUAAACUUCAGCCUAGCUUAGAAAAACAUGUCUACAUUAAAGAAAAAAGGCAAACAGUCUUUGGUUUGAACUUUAUUGUAUUCAAAAGUUAGAUUUUUUUUUAAAACAAAUAAUGUAUAAUAUUGUUUGAAUUUACAUACUCACAUACAUUAACAACUCUAACUACAGAUGGGUAAACUGCAUUCUAUUCUGCCUUUGCAUCAUAAGCAAAAUUAUCACCUAAGUUCUGCUGCCAGAACUGAAUCCAGAGUGAGUGUGCAAUGCCAGUUAGAAAUGUCAUCUUUGCACUUGCAAACUGAACAAUCUAAUAUGGAAAUUGCUAAGACAAUAACUUCACUAUGGAGUUAUCUUCCCUACUAAUUUUGAAUGGCUUAACAGCAUUUGUCAUGCUGUGCAACCAAUUCUUUUUGAAAAAAAAAAAAAAACAAAAAAAAAAAAACAAGUUUAAAAGUGAAUUAUCUGAUUGAUGACUGAUUUUACUUACUGAUAAGUCAGUGUCUCCUAAUCUUUUCCUUUCCUGCUCAAUGACAGACUCUAAUACCUUGUAGUAAAGAACCUCAGCAAGACGAAAAUGCUUGCCAGCAUUAUCUGCAAGAGGAAAAAGAUAAUGAAAAAUUAUAUUAAAAAACACUCUGUAUAUCUGAUUUAAGGUCCACCUAUUGCCAUUAGUUUUUUUUACUAUUAGCUUUUUUCAUAAAAAUGAGGAUAAAAAUGACUUUAUUAAGCUACAGUAACAAAUGUUGUGAUUACGUUUAUAUAGCUUUUCAACUUGGGAGAUCCCAAAAUGCUUUAUGAUGGGGUGGGGAUGGUAAGGAGGUAGAAGAAGAUUGGAGGGUAAGUGAAGAAUAUUUUAUUACUGAAGCCUGAG